UGGGCAACCUGCCCUCAGCUCUGGGAUAACUCCAAGAAAUUGGGGCUAAUACCGGAUAUGACUGCUGACCGCAUGGUCUGGUGGUGGAAAGAUUUAUCGGCUGGGGAUGGGCCCGCGGCCUAUCAGCUUGUUGGUGGGGUAGUGGCCUACCAAGGCGACGACGGGUAGCCGGCCUGAGAGGGUGACCGGCCACACUGGGACUGAGACACGGCCCAGACUCCGUACGGGGAG
rnacentral:rRNA from 1 species